AUGCAAGUCGAGCGGCAGCACGGGAAGCUUGCUUCCUGGUGGCGAGCGGCGGACGGGUGAGUAAUGCAUAGGAAUCUGCCCGGUAGUGGGGGAUAACCUGGGGAAACCCAAGCUAAUACCGCAUACGUCCUACGGGAGAAAGCAGGGGCUCUUCGGACCUUGCGCUAUCGGAUGAGCCUAUGUCGGAUUAGCUAGUUGGUGAGGUAAAGGCUCACCAAGGCGACGAUCCGUAGCUGGUCUGAGAGGAUGAUCAGCCACAUCGGGACUGAGACACGGCCCGAACUCCUACGGGAGGCAGCAGUGGGGAAUAUUGGACAAUGGGCGCAAGCCUGAUCCAGCCAUGCCGCGUGUGUGAAGAAGGCCCUCGGGUUGUAAAGCACUUUCAGUGGGGAAGAAAGCCUCGCGGCUAAUAUCCGCGAGGAAGGACAUCACCCACAGAAGAAGCACCGGCUAACUCCGUGCCAGCAGCCGCGGUAAUACGGAGGGUGCGAGCGUUAAUCGGAAUUACUGGGCGUAAAGCGCGCGUAGGUGGCUUGAUAAGCCGGUUGUGAAAGCCCCGGGCUCAACCUGGGAACGGCAUCCGGAACUGUCAGGCUAGAGUGCAGGAGAGGAAGGUAGAAUUCCCGGUGUAGCGGUGAAAUGCGUAGAGAUCGGGAGGAAUACCAGUGGCGAAGGCGGCCUUCUGGACUGACACUGACACUGAGGUGCGAAAGCGUGGGUAGCAAACAGGAUUA
rnacentral:rRNA from 1 species